rnacentral:rRNA from 1 species
GACGAACGCUGGCGGCGUGCUUAACACAUGCAAGUCGAACGAAGAGCGAUGGAAGCUUGCUUCUAUCAAUCUUAGUGGCGAACGGGUGAGUCACGCGUAAUCAACCUGCCCUUCAGAGGGGGACAACAGUUGGAAACGACUGCUAAUACCGCAUACGAUCUAAUCUCGGCAUCGAGGAUAGAUGAAAGGUGGCCUCUACAUGUAAGCUAUCACUGAAGGAGGGGAGUGCGUCUGAUUAGCUAGUUGGAGGGGUAACGGCCCACCAAGGCGAUGAUCAGUAGCCGGUCUGAGAGGAUGAACGGCCACCUUGGGACUGAGACACGGCCCAGACUCCUACGGGAGGCAGCAGUGGGGAAUCUUCCGCAAUGUACGAAAGUCUGACGGAGCAACGCCGCGUGAGUGAUGACGGCCUUCGGGUUGUAAAGCUCUGUUAAUCGGGACGAAAGGCCUUCUUGCGAAUAGUGAGAAGGAUUGACGGUACCGGAAUAGAAAGCCACGGCUAACUACGUG